UUGAAAGGGAAACGAUUGAAGUCAGUCUCUCCCCAAUCAACCCUCUCAUCAANACCCAUUUGUNCNGCCUCAAAACCCCACACAUUUCUCACAUNNNNACACUUUCUUUCCCUGUUAACAUCAAUUUCGAACGUCAUAAAAAGGCUGGAGGGAUGUGGCUCCUUCGGGAGUGUUAUAACCUUUAGCGGAAUGUGGUGUUCGGGAUUGAGGACUGCAACGAAUACCUUUAGGGCUGUUCCACCUGGCUUCUCUUUGGUAUCCUGGUGACGACAGCUUGCUGACGUCGUUAGGAUUCGCCUUUGAACAGGCUANAGUGUGAGCAAAUUCGUUAAGGAUGUUGACGUA
rnacentral:rRNA from 1 species